rnacentral:rRNA from 1 species
UGAUCAUGGCUCAGGAUGAACGCUAGCUACAGGCUUAACACAUGCAAGUCGAGGGGCAGCAUGGUCUUAGCUCGUUAAGGCCGAUGGCGACCGGCGCACGGGUGAGUAACACGUAUCCAACCUGCCGUCUACUCUUGGACAGCUUUCUGGAAGGAAGAUUAAUACAAGAUGGCAUCAUGAGUCCACAUGUUCACAUGAUUAAAGGUAUUCCGGUAGACGAUGGGGAUGCGUUCCAUUAGAUAGUAGGCGGGGUAACGGCCCACCUAGUCUUCGAUGGAUAGGGGUUCUGAGAGGAAGGUCCCCCACAUUGGAACUGAGACACGGUCCAAACUCCUACGGGAGGCAGCAGUGAGGAAUAUUGGUCAAUGGGCGAGAGCCUGAACCAGCCAAGUAGCGUGAAGGAUGACUGCCCUAUGGGUUGUAAACUUCUUUUAUAAAGGAAUAAAGUCGGGUAUGGAUACCCGUUUGCAUGUACUUUAUGAAUGAGGAUCGGCUAACUCCGUGCCAGCAGCCGCGGUAAUACGGGGGAUCCGAGCGUUAUCCGGAUUUAUUGGGUUUAAAGGGAGCGUAGAUGGAUGUUUAAGUCAGUUGUGAAAGUUUGCGGCUCAACCGUAAAAUUGCAGUUGAUACUGGACAUCUUGAGUGCAGUUGAGGCAGGCGGAAUUCGUGGUGUAGCGGUGAAAUGCUUAGAUAUCACGAAGAACUCCGAUUGCGAAGGCAGCCUGCUAAGCUGCAACUGACAUUGAGGCUCGAAAGUGUGGGUAUCAAACAGGAUUAGAUACCCUGGUAGUCCACACGGUAAACGAUGAAUACUCGCUGUUUGCGAUAUACGGCAAGCGGCCAAGCGAAAGCGUUAAGUAUUCCACCUGGGGAGUACGCCGGCAACGGUGAAACUCAAAGGAAUUGACGGGGGCCCGCCCAAGCCGAGGAACAUGUGGUUUAAUUAGAUGAUACGCGAGGAACCUUACCC